rnacentral:rRNA from 1 species
UACAGAGGUCCCGAGCGUUGUUCGGAUUCACUGGGCGUAAAGCGUGCGCAGGCGGCGCGUUAAGACAGGUGUGAAAGCCCCGAGCUUAACUUGGGAAUUGCGCUUGUGACUGGCGUGCUGGAGUGUGGCAGAGGGAGGUGGAAUUCCACGUGUAGCAGUGAAAUGCGUAGAGAUGUGGAGGAACACCGAUGGCGAAGGCGGCGACCUGGGUUGACAUUGACGCUGGAGGCGCGAAAGCGUGGGGAGCGAACAGG